rnacentral:rRNA from 1 species
GGAUAACCUACCCUUAGGACUGGGAUAACCCUGGGAAACUGGGGAUAAUACCGGAUAGGCAAUUUUUCCUGUAAUGGUUUUUUGUUUAAAUGUUUUUUCGCCUAAGGAUGGGUCUGCGGCCGAUUAGGUAGUUGGUUAGGUAAUGGCUUACCAAGCCGUUGAUCGGUACGGGUUGUGAGAGCAAGAGCCCGGAGAUGGAACCUGAGACAAGGUUCCAGGCCCUACGGGGUGCAGCAGGCGCGAAACCUCCGCAAUGUGAGAAAUCGCGACGGGGGGAUCCCAAGUGCCAUUCUUAACGGGAUGGCUUUUCAUUAGUGUAAAGAGCUUUUGGAAUAAGGGCUGGGCAAGACCGGUGCCAGCCGCCGCGGUAACACCGGCAGCUCUAGUGGUAGCAGUUUUUAUUGGGCCUAAAGCGUCCGUAGCCGGUUUAAUAAGUCUCUGGUGAAAUCCUGUAGCUUAACUGUGGGAAUUGCUGGAGAUACUAUUAGACUUGAGACCGGGAGAGGUUAGAGGUACUCCCAGGGUAGAGGUGAAAUUCUGUAAUCCUGGGAGGACCGCCUGUUGCGAAGGCGUCUAACUGGAACGGUUCUGACGGUGAGGGACGAAAGUUAGGGGCGCGAACCGGAUUAGAUACCCGGGUAGUCCUAACUGUAAACGAUGCGGACUUGGUGUUGGGGUGGCUUUGAGCUGCUCCAGUGCCGAAAGGGAAGCUGUUAAGUCCGCCGCCUGGGAA